rnacentral:lncRNA from 1 species
GAUUAAUGAAGGGAUUUCUUAUUUAGAGACUGUCAAGCUUCAGAUGAUCAUGCAAGAAGGGUUCCAGUUAGUUCCAGAUGCAGACACCCCCCACCUCCCUGGCCAUCAAGAAGCUACCCUGCCUCCAUUAGACAGCACAGGGUGAGAGUUCCAUGAUCCCCAGUAGGUAGAGACUACACCCCAAGCCAGCAUGAAGGAGUUGCAGAAGAAAGACCAUCAGUCCCUCUGACUCCCAGAAAGAUUUAUGAGGAUCAUGUCUCUCAUGGGGGAGAUGAGGCAGGAGAAUAGGGUCAGGGGGCAGGGAACCUAAGGACUUCUUAGAACUAAAUCAAACAGAAAAAACCCAACUUUCUAAGACCAAGUAAAUAACUUUGUAACUCUACUUCAGCUAUGACAGGAAACAUUCUCUUCAUUUGCACAAGGUAUACACCAAAUAAAUAACUUUGUAGCUUCACUUCAU